UAUCGUGAGAAACGUUCUUCCUGUAGCGCGUCGGCUAAUUUCCCUUGAAAAUACAAGUAUUACGGCGAUAUUAAUUACUGUUGCAAUAACCAUCAGCCUAUUCCCAUUCUUAUUUGAUAUUUCUUCCAGUGACAUUUUAGACGUUCUCUCGUCUUAUCUCCAACACCCCUUUCUCGAUCUAACCCUACCUCUGUUUCUUGAUGUUUCAAUUUCCCCCACCAAAAGCCCUUACAGAAUUUGCUUCUCAUUGCGCAAGAUUUCCGUUUCACCGAUAAAUCUCUCUCUCGCCUUUUCAAUGGCGCUGGAUAACUUUGGUGACUUUGUAUAAUGGAGACGGAUCCAAAAGCGGGCAACGAACAUCCAGAGGUCAAUUUGUAAUGUGCUUUGAUGACGAAUUGGAAGAUUUCGCUUUUUAUCAAGGUGGAUUGGAAAGAUAACUUUGGCUAGAGCAACUUUAUUUCAGUUCCACAUCUGGUUGAGGUGUGUAUAUACUACCAAAAAACUAAGAAUUGCCAGCGUUUAUAUUAUCGGCAUUUGUUUAUGUGCUGAUAAAAAUAUAUUAUUGCCAGCACUUAAUUUUUACGCCAGUAAAUUAUUGAUUUUUCCAACGUUUAUGUUGUUAUGCCGGUAAUAAUAUAUAGCUUUGGCGGUGUUUAAAAAAAUGCCGACAAUUUAUAAAUUAUACGCCGGUAAAUUAAUAGUUUGCUGGCGUUUAUAUUGUUACGCCAUUAAUGAUAUAUUGUUUUGGCAACAUUUAAGAAUAUAUAGCUUUAGCAGAUAAAUUACUAGUUUGUUGGUAUUUAUAUUGUUGCGGUGAUAACAAUAUAAAGCUUUAGCGGUGUUUAAAAGAAUGCCGAACAUUGAUCAAUUGUACGCCAGUAAUUUAGUAGUGUGCUAGCAUUUAUAUUGUUACGCCGAUAAUAAUAUAUAGUUAUGACAGUGUUAAAAAAAAUGCCAAAAAUUUAUCAAUUAUACGCUGGUAAAUUAGUAGUUUGCUAAUGUUUGUAUUGUUACGUCGGUAAUUAUUUAUAGCUUUGGUGGCAUUUAAAAAAAUGGCGAAAAUUGAUCAAUUAUACAUCGAUAAUUUAGUAGUGUGCCAGUGUUUAUAUUGUUACGUCGGUAAUAAUAUAUAGCUCAAAAGAAGUAAAAUUAUUUUAAAUUUAUUGGUAGUUAAAGAAAUAUUAAAAAGAAUAAAAAAAACUUAUUUAAAUUAUACGAAGAAAAAAAUACUAAAGUUCUUGCCACAGAAAAAUGGAAAAAAUAAUCAUAAUGUGUCAUUGCCACCUCCUCUUCUGCUGAAUAAACAAAACUAAGAUUACAAUAAAAUCUUAAAAAAAUUAUAAAGAAAAUACAAUGCGUCAAUAUAUGGCAUAACCAUAAAUAUUGUCUCAAUUAAUAAAAGUUGCAAAUACCAUUAAACUAAAAUAUUAAUAUAAUUUGAGAUUAUUCACUUAUAAUCCCCUCAAUCCUCAUCAUCGUUGUUCUCUUCUUCUUCUCCAUCUUCCUCUUAUUCUUCCUCUUUAUCAUUUUCCUCUUCAUCUUUCUCUUCCCCUUCAUUAAUCCCUAUUUGAUUUUGUCCUAAGGCCUACAUAUAAAUUCAAAUGAGGGUCCAAAAAUUUCAAAAUUAGGUUGAUUGAUAUCAACUAAACAUACGUGGGAUGCUCACAUGUGCAUGCAUGAAUGUGUUUACUAAGUUUUACAAUUCAAUUAAUUCGUUUCACGUUUUAUCAAACUCUUCCUUAGAUAUACCAUCUUCUUGUUUAGAAGUUUGUAGUGAAUGUUGACAAGUUUACCUUAUAGGGAUUGGCUCAAACCCCAAACCGCACACAUGUCCAGGCCGUUCUGAGCCCAUAACUUUAUAAUAAACAUCAUCUGAUACCCAAGUCAUAGUUCCUCCAGACCCCAUUUCUAUGAGACUUGAGUCCUAUGUUAAAAGUUCCUCCUCAACCUGCAAUAGAUAAUAAAAAAAAAAAACACAUUCUUAGUCUUAUAAAUCCAUUAAAAUUAAAAAAUAAUAAAUUUAAUAAACACACAACUUUCAUCCUUGUCUCAUCAUUGUAGUGGGUUCCAUCAUUUCACUUAUGGGUCGUGACAAAUAAUUGGGUUCGACUUGGCAAUGCUCGAGCUGGGCUUGACGUGUGUGAAGUUUGGGGUUUGUGCGGAUUUGGCUCAAACCCCAAACUGCGCACACGUCCAGACCGUUCUGGGCCCAUAACUUUAGAAUAAACAUCAUCUAAUGCCCAAGCCAUGGUUCUUCCAGACCCCAUUUCUAUGGGACUUGUGUCCUGUGUUAAAAGUCACUCAAUCUCAGCCUGUAAUAGAUAAUAAAAACUACACAUUUUUCAUCUUAUAAAUCUAUUAAAAUUAAAAAAUAAUAAAUUUGAAAACAAACAUACAACUUUCUUCCUCGUCUCAUCAUUGUAGUGGAUUCUAUCCUUUCACUUAUAGGUUGUGACAAACAAUUGGGAUCGACUUGGCAAUGUUCCAGUUGAUUUUUUCUGCAUCCAAUAUUUUAGAUUAAACACAUAUAUCGAAAAUAAACAAUUAACAAAUAUUCGAGAAUAAAUAAAUAUUAAUUAAAUAUAUACCACAUCAUGGGCAUAUCUUGUAUAACUUUUUUUUAUCCUCCACUGUUAACAACCACCUGCUUCUUAUGGCACUCAUUGUUUUUAUUACAUUUUGACUAAGAUUAUAAGAAUUAUGAUUAAAAUAACCAGUUAGUUGACUUUCUAAAUCUAUAAGAGAAAUGCGCGCAUUGUUACAUAUAUUCUGGAUCAAACCAAAGAUUGGCCAACUGCGUUAGUUGCGAUAAGUCCUACCAUAUCGAGACUUGCCUUUGCCAUAACUUGUGCUGCAGAGGUGUCUUUUUCAUUAAGUAACUUUUUCUUCAAUUCGUGCUUGUAGUCUUUCCAUUUUUUUCCAAUGUCUUUUAAUAGCAAUUUUUUUAAUGCAUCCAAUUUGUCAUUAGAAACUUUAAACUUGCCUUACAAUCAAAAUAAACUUACACAAGUAUUUAUCUUGCUUUCUAACAAAAUUUUCAAAAUAUACAUCUUUAAUUAAUAAUAAUGGUUUAAUGCAAGUUCUAUACCAUUAUAAAACCCCAUACUUCCUCCUUUAUGGUUGUAGGCACCGACCUCCAAUCCUUAUAAAUUAUUGGAACCAACGUAUAAGUUCUCGCUAUCAGGCCAUCAAACCUUGCCACAUUUGAUUCUUGCUUUUUUAUGGGUUGACCAAGACUAUUGAGCCCCAUAUCAAUUCGCUUUCCUUCUGGUAGAUGCCAAAUGUCAUGAAUCGAGUACAAUAGUCUCUUUACUCUACCUCCAUUACUAUCAGCAUAAAUGCAUUUAAUGACAUUGUUACUAUUUUGUAUGUGCAUUUAUAGUAAAAUAAAUAAGAAGUAAGAAAAACAAAAGCAUACGAACAAUGACAACAAAACGAUUUCUAAUGUCCGAACACAAGUCGACAUUUUCUGCUUCAGAAUGUGGUGCUAUUGGUACAUAGGUACAUUACUGGGUCUUUCUACUGAUCUCUGUAUGUGUGGAUAGUUGGCCUCCCAUUUGUAUCAAUGUAGAAGGUUGGGUCCCUUUCUAUGAAGAAAAUGAUGGGUGGGAAGGAUAAUCUAUAGAAAGUGAUAACUCCACCAUCCUAUCAACGCAAGGGGGCAGCCCAUCGAUAGAGGGUAAUGAAUGGGCCACCCUAUCAAGGGAUGGGUAUGAUUGCAUCUCACUAUAGAUAGCCGAUACUGAAGUAGAUGUCUUCGCAAGUGUGGUUUGAUAGUCUUUGCCUUCUUUUUUGGACCCAUUGUACCAAAAUAAAAAUAAGUUAUAUUUGCAAAUCAAUAGAAAUAAUAAUAUUUAGAGCAUGAUAUGAGAGAGAAGUAAAGUUAUAAGAGAUAUCAUGUAAGUUAAAAAUAUAAAACAAAAAAUUAUUCAUAUUCAAAAGUCUAAAUAUAUAUUUCUUACUUAACACUUUUUAAGGAAUUUUAAUCGUCAUUUCAUCUAUGUCAUUUCUGGUCCACACAACAUCGUAAAUAGCAAGUUCAUAGCUUUAUUGUUGUAAGUGUUACAAUAUUCAAUAAGGAUGAAUUUGACUUUAGUCUUGUAAAUUUUUCUCAUAUAGUACACAUUGGUAAUCAAAUUAUUGAUAAUCCGUUUGUUUUAUCCUCCCAAGCAUCUGAAGUAUAUUAUGUGGCAGAUGAAAGAUGCCCAAAUUGGCUUGUCAUCGUUAGGACAAAACUAAGAAACGUUUAUGAUAUUGGUGAAGAGGAAGUGGCUGGCAACGAUGAGAAUGAAUAUUGUAACACUUACAAUGAUGAAGCUAUUGAACCUGCCAUUGACAAUGUUGUGUGGACACGAAAUGAUAUAGAUGGAGUGAAGAUUGAAGUUGCGUAAUAGUGUUGAGUACAAUGGGUCCAAAAAAGAAAACAGACUAUCAGACCACACUUGUGAAGACAAUAUACUGUAGUAUCAGCUGUCCAUAAUGAAACGCAAUCAUACCUAUCUCUUGAUAGGGCAGCCCAUUCAUUACACUUUGUUGUUGGGCCACCCCCCUCUCAUUGAUAGGAUGGUGGAGUUAUCACAUUCUGUAGAUUGUCCUUCCCAACCAUCAUUUUCUUCACAUGAAGGGACCCAACCUUCUACAUCGAUACAAAUGAGAGGCCAACUAUCCACACAUACAGAGAUCAGGAGAGAGACCCAGCAAUGUACAUCUGUACCAGUAGCACCACAUUUCGAAGCAGAAAAUGUCGACUUGUGUUCGGACAUUUGAAAUCAUUUUGUUGUCAUUGUUUGUAUGUUUUUGUUUUUCUUACUUCUUAUUUAUUUCACUAUGAAUGCACAUAUACAAAAUAGUAACAAUGUCAUUAAAUCCAUUUAUGUUGAUAAUAUUGGAGGUAGAGUAAAGAGACCAUUGUACUCAAUUCAUGACAUUUGGCAUCUACCAGAAGGUGAGCGAAUUGAUAUUGAGCUCAAUAGUCUUGGUCAACCUAUCAAAAAACAAGACACAAAGGUGGCAAUGUUUGGUGGUCUGAUAGCGAGAACUAAUUGGUUGGUUCUAAUAAGUUACAAGGAUUGGAGGCCGGUGUCUAAAACCAUAAAGGAGGAAGCGUGGGAUUUUAUAAUAGUAUAGAACUUGUAUUAAACCAUUAUUAUUAUUUAAAUAUGUAUAUUUUGAAAAUUUUGUUAGAAAGCAAGAUAGAUACUUGUGUAAGUUUAUUUUGAUUGUAAGGCAAGUUUGAAGUUUCUAAUGACAAAUUGGAUGCAUUAAAAAAAUUGCUACUAAAGGACAUGAGGAAGAAAUGGAAAGACUACAAGCACGAAUUGAAGAAAAAGUUACUUAAUGAAAAAGACACAUCUGUAGCACAAGUUAUGGCAAGGGCAAGUCCCGAUAUGGUGAGACUUAUUGCAACUAGCGAAGUUGGCCAAUCUUUGGUUCGAUCCAAAAUAUAUGUAACAAUGUGCGCAUUUCUCUAAUAGAUUUAGAAAGUCAACCAACUAGUUAUUUUAAUCAUAAUUCUUAUAAUCAUAGUCAAAAUAUAAUAAAAACAAUGAGUGCCAUAAGAAGCUGGUGGUUGUUAACAGCAGAGGAUAGAAAAAAGUUAUGCAAGAUAUGUCAAUGAUGAGGUAUAUAUUUAAUGAAUAUUUAUUUAUUCUCGAAUAUUUUUUAAUUCUUUAUUUUCGAUAUAUGUGUUUAAUCUAGAAUAUUGGAUGCGGCAAAAAUCAAUUGGGGCAUUGCCAAGUCGAGCUCAAUUGUUUGUCAGGACCCAUAAGUGCAAGGAUGGAACCAACUACAAUGAUGAGACGAGGAAGAAAAUUGUUGAGAUUUAGGGACUUUUAACACAGGAUACAAGUCCGAUAAAAAUGGGGUCUGGAGGAACCAUGGUUUGGGCAUCAAAUGAUGUUUAUUCUAAAGUUAUGAGCCCAAAACGGUCUGGAUGUGUGUGCGGUUUGGGCCAACCCCUACAAGGCAAACUUGUCAACAUUCACUUCCAAUUUCUAAGCAAGAAGAUGGUAUAUCCAAGGAAGAGUUUGAUAAAAUGGACGAAUUAAUUGAAUUGCAAAAAUUAGUAAACACAUUCGUGCAUGCACAUGUAAGCACCCCACAUAUGUUUAGUUGAUAUCAAUCAACCUGAACCCUCAUUUGAAUUUAUAUGUAAGCUUUAGGAGAAAAUCAAAUAGAGAAUGCAGAGGAAGAUAAAGAUGAAAAAGAAAAAGAGGAAGAGAACGGCGUGGACGAGGAUUGAGGGGAUUAUAUGUGAAGAAUCUCAAAUUAUAUUAAUCAUAUUUUCUUUAUAAUUUCCUUAAAAUUUUAUUGUGAUCUUGGUUUUGUUUAUUGAGCAAGAGAAGUGUUGGCAAUGACACAUUAUGAUUGUUUUUUUUCCA